rnacentral:rRNA from 1 species
AUGCCUGGCUUCGGCCUGACCUGCAACGAGACCGGGGUUAAUGGUGGCCGCACGCCAUUUUAUUACGACCUGGAGGUCGUCGGCGUCUCGCUGCAGCAGGGUCAGGCCCGGAUGAAGAUGAGCAUCUCAACCUACUGCUACAACAACGCCACCCAGGGCAUGGACCCCGUCCCGUGGGGGCUCGACCUCACGGGCACGCCCUACAGGUUCGCCCACACCAACAAGUUCACCGUCAUCGGCUGCCAGACGCUGGCGUACAUCGUGGGCGAGCGCGCCGACGAGUACACCAGCGGCUGCGUGGCCAUGUGCCGGAGGGGAGGCGACGGCGACGUCAGGUCGGCCUCACCAACGGCUCCUGCUCCGGGAUAG